GAAGAAUGUGACCGCCAUUUGUUUAAGCCGCUACAAAUUGAAGCGUUUAACAGUGGUCAAGAAUCGAGUCCACUAUUCAGGAUGUUUUAAGAGAUCUCAAUUCUAGUGUAUUUAAAGAUAUACAACGAUGGAUUUUGGAGUUCUUCAAUGCUGCUAGAUUGCAUGGAGAACCUAGUAUCACAAAAGCAACUCGAUCCUUUCCUAUUCUGAGUAAUGCUACUCCUGCUCAACUGUCCACUGCAUUGGUUAUUACCGGAAAUAUAGAAUUUGUCGAUGAUAUAUUGACCUUUGAAGAGCUCGGCCAUUUCUUGAAAUCCCAUGGAUGCCAUGUAGCCAUUUCUUCGGUGGAUUUUUCAAUGAAAAACGGAA